UGUGUGCAAAACACGUCUAACAUCCUUGUUACAACCUCUUUAGUUCUCUUCCCUUCGCCAACUUACAGCACAGAGAACUUACAUUUGAAGGCCAACAUCACAGGCACCUUUGGAACACCCCCACGUUCCCUCCGCGUGGACCCAGCCUCUCCGCGCAAUGAGUUGUGGGGAUUGUAGUUCGCCCGCCGCAGCUGGCCCUGCGGCUCUCCCGACCAGGCUGUGAGGAGGAGCGAGUCCUCGAUCACCUAUGGGAAGGUCUUUUCAGCCUCGACGCCGAACCUUGGGGCGUUGGGAGUUUAAACUUUCCAUUCCUGGAAGUGACACCCGGAGGAGAACAGCCACUCCAGGUUGGGAAGCAGAAGGUAAACAUUUUCAGCAAGACCUCACUUUUUGGAAUGGUUUUCCUUCCUCCUCUUCUUGUUGCAUUUCAUUUGCCCACAUUUGACUCCGAAUAAAGCUCUAACCUGUUUUUAUAAA